rnacentral:misc_RNA from 1 species
GAUGAAGAACGCAGCGAAAUGCGAUAAGUAAUGCGAAUUGCAGAAUUUCCGUGAGUCAUCGAAUCUUUGAACGCAUCUUGCGCUCCUUGGUAUUCCGAGGAGCAUGCCUGUUUGAGUGUCGUGAAUACUCUCAACUUCAACCCUUUUUUCGGAAAGGGAGGAAGGUUGGACUUGGGUGUUUGUUGAAGUGCGAGCUUCGACUCAUCCUAAAUGCAUUAGCGAUCUGCCUCGAUCACACACAAUGUGAUAAUUAAAACUAAAGCAUUGUUUAAUGAUCAAGUCGAGACUGCUUCUAACUGUCGCAAGACAAUAACGUGCAUACAUUUGUGCAUGUCAUUUGACCUCAAAUCAGGUAGGACUACCCGCUGAACUUAAGCAUAUCAAUAAGCGGAGGA